rnacentral:ncRNA from 1 species
CUUAGCGACGUGGCUUUUUGAUCCUUCGAUGUCGGCUCUUCCUAUCAUUGCGAAGCAAAAUUCACAAAGCGUAGGAUUGUUCUCCCUUUCAAGGGAACGUG